rnacentral:rRNA from 1 species
AGUGAACGCUGGCGGUAGGCCUAACACAUGCAAGUCGAACGGCAGCACAGUAAGAGCUUGCUCUUACGGGUGGCGAGUGGCGGACGGGUGAGGAAUACAUCGGAAUCUACUUUUUCGUGGGGGAUAACGUAGGGAAGCUUACGCUAAUACCGCAUACGACCUACGGGUGAAAGCAGGGGAUCUUCGGACCUUGCGCGAUUGAAUGAGCCGGUGUCGGAUUAGCUAGUUGGCGGGGUAAAGGCCCACCAAGGCGACGAUCCGUAGCUGGUCUGAGAGGAUGAUCAGCCACACUGGAACUGAGACACGGUCCAGACUCCUACGGGAGGCAGCAGUGGGGAAUAUUGGGCAAUGGGCGCAAGCCUGAUCCAGCCAUACCGCGUGGGUGAAGAAGGCCUUCGGGUUGUAAAGCCCUUUUGUUGGGAAAGAAAAGCAGCAGGUUAAUACCCCGCUGUUCUGACGGUACCCAAAGAAUAAGCACCGGCUAACUUCGUG